rnacentral:lncRNA from 1 species
CCGCUACGCGCGUUAUUCGAUAUCAGUGUGGACAAUUUUUUUUUAUGUUAUUUCUUCAUAGACAGAAAAAAUAUUACAGCCGAGCAGGAACUACCGAGCGAUACACUUGUACAUUGAUUUAACGUUUUCAUUUCUAGUUUCAUUAAUGAUACCAUUUCUAAAGAACCAAACUUGUCUUUUGUUGUAAUGUUGUGUUUUUUUGUUAGAACUCAAUCCAAAUAUUGGAGAAAUUUGUGGAGUGGCCACAGGAAUCAAGCAUACAGUACAUUGCCGCGGACAAAUAUUUUAUAAUCAUAGUUACUUCACAAAAGAUACAACUGAAAAAAGACCUCAUGACCACAUACGAAUACAAGUAAACAAAACACUGCAUACAAAAUAAGACUGAUGAAAGCAUACCAAAGAAAAAACCCGUAAUAUUUUGAAAGUAUGGGCGGUUCCUGCUGUUGAAGUAACACAGCUCGCGUCAAUCUAAUAGGAUACAUACAGGACUCUGCUACAACCAACUCACCCUUUUAUACAAAGUACGUUUAGUUGUUCGAUAUGAAAUAUAUCUAGGAGUUGAGAUCAAAUUUGCUGUUUUACAUAAAACUUUGCCCCGUUAAUGAAAUUUCUUCUCUUUUCUUCUAUUCAACAUCAUUCGGUAUUUUUGUAUACGUGUAAUGCAAACCGCAACCCAAAAACCUUGUUUUAAUCAUCUAGUAC